rnacentral:tRNA from 1 species
GGGAAUGUGGCUUAGUGGUAGAGUGCUUGCUUAGCAUGCAUGAAGCCCUGGGUUUAAUUCCUCAGUACCA